rnacentral:rRNA from 1 species
CCUACGGGAGGCUGCAGUGAGGAAUAUUGGUCAAUGGACGGAAGUCUGAACCAGCCAUGCCGCGUGCAGGAAGACGGCUCUAUGAGUUGUAAACUGCUUUUGUACAAGGGUAAACCUGAAUACGUGUAUUCAGCUGAAAGUACUGUACGCAUAAGGACCGGCUAACUCCGUGCCAGAAGCCGCGGUAAAACGGAGGGUCCAAGCGUUAACCGGAUUGAUUGGGUUGAAAGGGUGCGUAGGGGGAUUGAAAAGUUUGAGGUGAAAUUCCCAAGCUUAACUCGGGAACUGCCUCUGAUACUGUUGAUCUAGAGAGUAGAUGCGGUAGGCGGAAUGUAUGGUGUAGCGGUGAAAUGCUUAGAGAUCAUACAGAACACCGAUUGCGAAGGCAGCUUACCAAUCUAUAUCUGACGUUGAGGCACGAAAGCGUGGGGAGCAAACAGGAUUAGAUACCCCGGUAGUC